rnacentral:rRNA from 1 species
UACAGAGGGUGCAAGCGUUAAUCGGAAUUACUGGGCGUAAAGCGUGCGUAGACGGUUACAUAAGUCGGGUGUGAAAGCCCCGGGCUCAACCUGGGAAUUGCAUUCGAGACUGCGUAGCUAGGGUGCGGAAGAGGGAAGCGGAAUUUCCGGUGUAGCGGUGAAAUGCGUAGAUAUCGGAAGGAACACCAGUGGCGAAAAGCGGCUUCCUGGUCCAGCACCGACGUCAGGCACGAAAGCGUGGGGAGCAAACAGG